rnacentral:rRNA from 1 species
AUGAACGCUAGCGACAGGCUAACACAUGCAAGUCGAGGGGUAACAGGGUAGCAAUACCGCUGACGACCGGCGCACGGGUGAGUAACGCGUAUGCAACCUGCCUAUAACUGUGGAAUAGCUCCCUGAAAGGGGAAUUAACACCGCAUAACACUAUUCGAUUCGCAUGGAUUGGUAGUUAAAUGUAGCGAUACAGGUUAUAGAUGGGCAUGCGUGACAUUAGCUAGUUGGUGAGGUAACGGCUCACCAAGGCUACGAUGUCUAGGGGUUCUGAGAGGAAGGUCCCCCACACUGGUACUGAGACACGGACCAGACUCCUACGGGAGGCAGCAGUGAGGAAUAUUGGUCAAUGGGCGCAAGCCUGAACCAGCCAUGUCGCGUGCAGGAAGAACCUGCCCUAUGGGUUGUAAACUGCUUUUAUAGUAGAAGAAACACAUCUACGUGUAGAUGUCUGCCAGUAUACUAUGAAUAAGCAUCGGCUAACUCCGUGCCAGCCGCCGC